CACGCACGCACGCACGCACGCACGCACAUACGCAGAGCUUGUCCAUAAACAGUACAGACCCAGGUAAUCUCCAUGGGAAAAUGAGAGGGUGAUGGUGUUGGUGAAAGAGUGGAGGAAACAGUGAGAUCUUAGCUUCUUGUGUAUUUGUAGGGAAAUCUACCAAACACAACAGGUAUGUGGAGUGAUGCAGGAUCAUACUACAGACAGGAAGGCAGACAGUAGAGGUGUGAGGGGAGAGACAGUAGAGGUGUGAGGGAGAGACAGUAGAGGUGUGAGGGUGAGACAGUAGAGGUGUGAGGGAGAGACAGUAGAGGUGUGAGGGUGAGACAGUAGAGGUGUGAGGGGAGAGACAGUAGAGGUGUGAGGGAGAGACAGUAGAGGUGUGAGGGGUGAGACAGUAGAGGUGUGAGGGGAGAGACAGUAGAGGUGUGAGGGUGAGACAGUAGAGGUGUGAGGGUGAGACAGUAG
ensembl:lncRNA